GAUGAAGAACGUAGCGAAAUGCGAUAAGUAGUGUGAAUUGCAGAUUUCAGUGAAUCAUCGAAUCUUUGAACGCACAUUGCGCCCCUUGGUAUUCCAUGGGGCAUGCCUGUUCGAGCGUCAUUUGUACCUUCAAGCCUUGCUUGGUGUUGGGUGUUUGUCUCGCCUCUGCGCGCAGACUCGCCUCAAAACAAUUGGCAGCCGGCGUAUUGAUUUCGGAGCGCAGUACAUCUCGCGCUUUGCACUCAGAACGACGACGUCCAAAAGUACAUUUUUACACUCUUGACCUCGGAUCAGGUAGGGAUACCCGCUGAACUUAAGCAUAUCAAUAAGCGGAGGA
rnacentral:misc_RNA from 1 species